rnacentral:lncRNA from 1 species
CUUAUGUUUAUUUUUCCUUUUUUUCGCAGAUUCAAUCCGGGGCCUGGAUUCGAGGAUCCAAAUUUGACCGAUCUGCUGUUUCAGAACUUCAAAAAGGUGGUCGAGCGCAGGUACAACAAAUGUAGCUGAUUCUCUUUAAUCUAUGUUAAAAAAAAUUGAUAAAGGGAUGUAUAGAAUUGAGCUCAUACAAAUAAAUCUUUGAUGUCUACGUGCGUUGCAUUGAAAACCAUACAUGUUAACCGUCUUUUGUUUUGUCAUUUCCCAAGUUUGUAGAUUGUAGUUCGCAACUGGCAACCUUCGAUUUUUUUAUGUGAAAUUGUCAUUUAACUUUGUGGAGUUUUGCAGUGUCCAGCUUUUUGAAGUUCUCUUAUGGUUAUUCGUGUGAACUGUUAGAAUGAUGAUCACAGAAAGAAAAAAUCCGCAUCAAUA